rnacentral:rRNA from 1 species
GACGAACGCUGGCGGCGUGCUUAACACAUGCAAGUCGAACGGAAAGGCCUCUUUCGGGGGGUACUCGAGUGGCGAACGGGUGAGUAACACGUGAGUAACCUGCCCUUGACUUUGGGAUAACUUCAGGAAACUGGGGCUAAUACCGGAUAGGAGCUCCUGCUGCAUGGUGGGGGUUGGAAAGUUUCGGCGGUUGGGGAUGGACUCGCGGCUUAUCAGCUUGUUGGUGGGGUAGUGGCUUACCAAGGCUUUGACGGGUAGCCGGCCUGAGAGGGUGACCGGCCACAUUGGGACUGAGAUACGGCCCAGACUCCUACGGGAGGCAGCAGUGGGGAAUAUUGCACAAUGGGUGGAAGCCUGAUGCAGCACCGCCGUGGGCGGGAUGACGGCCUUCGGGUUGUAGACCGCUUUCGCUCAUGACGAAGCUUUGUGUGACGGUAGUGGGUAAAGAAGCACCGGCUAACUACGUG